UACGUAGGUGGCAAGCGUUGUCCGGAUUUACUGGGCGUAAAGAGCGCGCAGGCGGUCGUUCAAGUCGCGUGUGAAAGCCCCCGGCUCAACUGGGGAGGGUCACGCGAUACUGAUCGACUCGAAGGCAGGAGAGGGUAGUGGAAUUCCCGGUGUAGUGGUGAAAUGCGUAGAUAAUCGGGAGGAACACCAGUGGCGAAGGCGACUACCUGGCCUGUUCUUGACGCUGAGGCGCGAAAGCUA
rnacentral:rRNA from 1 species